UCCGAGUUGACCCCGGCAGUCUCCCGUGAGUCCCCAACCGCCCGAAGACGUUGCUGGCAACACAGGACAAGGGUUGCGCUCGUUGCGGGACUUAACCCAACAUCUCACGACACGAGCUGACGACAGCCAUGCACCACCUGUACACCGACCACAAGGGGGCGCCUGUCUCCAGACGUUUCCGGUGUAUGUCAAGCCUUGGUAAGGUUCUUCGCGUUGCGUCGAAUUAAGCCGCAUGCUCCGCCGCUUGUGCGGGCCCCCGCCAAUUCCUUUGAGUUUUAGCCUUGCGGCCGUACUCCCCAGGCGGGGCGCUUAUUGCGUUAGCUACGGCACAGAAACCCGGGAAGGGUCCCCACACCUAGCGCCCAACGUUUACAGCAUGGACUAC
rnacentral:misc_RNA from 1 species